UCCCUAUAAACACCACAGAGAAAAAAACAAAUCAACUCAACUACCAUCACAAUGAACAUAAUUUACAGGGUUUGCACUUUUUGGGACUAUUAUCUUGGUUCCGUUGCACCCAGCAACCUCAAAUGCAGCUUAAGUAUCUGACAGAAAACAAAUUCUAUUUGUAACCAGAUGUGUCUCUGUCUUACCUCCUCCAGUCUUUGAAGUAGAAGUGGAUGGCAUAAAAUACCAUACUGAAGGGGUAGUUCAAGUUGCUGUGGAUCACCCUUCUACCCGUCCCAUCAGACACAAUGCACUCAACGCUUGGUCCCUGAGAGCGAGAAAGAGAGGGUGUGUAUGUGAGAGAGAGGAAGAUAUUCAAGAUUAUUCCUCAGCAGUUUGCCCCUCUCCUUAUCCCCUAUGAUUACGACGGACAACUCAACCCACCAAUAUUGAGCCGACACCCUGUGUGGUGGAGAAACAGCACCAGCAAAAACACCAGAGAGGCCAAGUAAAUGCCCCAUAGCUGACAUGAACCAGCUCAUACUGAUGUUUUGAAGCUGGAGCUGUAAGGUCCUGUAUUUAUUUUCUUAGUCAACCUUGUGUUCUGUUUCAUUGUGUUCUUGAACGUAGCCCUGUUUCUUUGUGUUCUUGAAAGUAGCCCUGUCUUUAAUUUUUGUUCAUUGAUUUUACCUGUGUUAGUUACUCACCUGGUCUCAUCAGCUCCUUAUUUAGUUCAGUUCAAUCUGUUUGUGCCUUUGUGAGAUAUUGUUCAUUUUGACUCUACUAAGCCUUUUCCUAGCUCGGUUGUGAGAACCAGUGAUAGCCUUCAGUCCUAGGUUUGAUUCACCUGCCUGUUAGCCUACCUGUGUAUGACCAUUGCCUGCCUGUGACCACGAAUCCUGCCUUCUGCGAAGGUGAAAUAAAUACCUGCCGCGCUCUACACGUGAAUCUACUGUACACCUUUUUCUCCCUGAGUAUUCAUUACAGGAGUGAGAGAAAAAUCUACUGCAGAUUGAGGUCCAGAAUUUACAGAAAGAGCUACUGCAAAUUCAGGAACAGAAACUCCAUCAGGGAAACAAAUGCCCACUGUGUAAAGAAUGGUAAUCCUUUUUAUUUAUUUAAUAAAUGCUUUCCCAAGC
rnacentral:lncRNA from 1 species